CCAAGCACCACCAACAGCACCACAGCCAAUACUUCAACAGGCGCUAACAACGGCACCCCUGCCACUACCUUACCAAGCACCACCACCAGCACCACAGCCAGUACUUCAACAGGCGCUAUCAGCAGUACCCCUGCCACUACCUUACCAAGCACCACCAACAGUCCUCCCGCCAGUACCUUACCAAGCACCACCAACAGCACCACAGCCAGUACUUCAACAAGCACCAUCAACAGCACCCCCGCAGGAACGUUACAACGCACAACAACCAACAGCCACAGUACCUCUAGUGGCUCCAACACCAUCACUACAAGCACCACGUCCAGCACCACGACCAGCACCACCACAAGCACAACCCAAACCUCGACAGUGGAUCAGGACGGACACAAGUCCAAAGCACUGAGCUCAGGAAGUAUUGCAGCCAUUGUGUCUCUGUUCAUUUUUAUCGUCAUCGUAGUGUUGGGUGGACUGUACUACUACAAGAUCCGACGUACAUCCUAUGGUCGUCUACUGGACAGAGAUUAUGGCGCUUUGGGAAACUUCACCAACCCUAUGUACGACCCCUGAAUCCCAACUUUUGACCUCCGACUCUGGAAGUGACACCGAGAGUCCUCAGUCAGCAGAGGGAGCUGUCUGAAUUCAGUGUUUUUAAAGCGUGUACUUGUAAAAUAAGUUCUACAAAAUCCCAUUUUAUUACUGUGAUACUUGAUGAAUUGACUGAACUCAGUUGUAAAAUAUCCACUGACCUUUGCUCUUGAGCUUCACAGCUUCAGUAGCAGAGAGAACAAGCACAUUUAUCAGAGGUAAAGUCAUUCUCACAGGACAAAAUGAUGUAUGUGAAGACAUGACAGUAAAUGUUAACUCAAUCGGGAUGUUGAGACGGGGGGACCUGACCAUGAAGUGUUAAUAUUUCCUGUCUGUGAAAUUCUCAGAUGAAUUAAUGUUCAGUAGAUUUACAUCAUGUCUGAACUUGUUGUUUAAACUAACUCAUGUAAACUGUGAAAUAAUGAGAUUCUGCUGCAAACGUGGAUUUUUUAAACAUUCAGAUAUCAACAGGAACAUAGAUGACGAGACAAAGCUCAAGUUUUGGAGAACACAAGUAGCGUUUUAAGACAAUUUCACAAUAUGUGAGUUUGAGCCCAAUCUGCUUUACUAACUGACACAUUUUGGAACUUGUUGAUUAAAGCCCCAGAUUGGAACCAUAUCGGUUUGAUGGCUGACGUGAUCUGAGAAGGUGCAAACAUGUCACAUCCUUCGACUGGAUUUGUAAAUACUUUGAUGAAUCAGCAAAAUGUACAGUAGUGUGGACCUAGUCUGAAAGGUGCAGAGAAACUGGCCUUUAAAAAAAAAAGUUUCUGGGUUUGAGUGUUAUUUAUUCAUCCUGCUGAAGUGCACAAUCUUCUCCCAUUCUGAUCCACCUCUGAUAAAUUUCAACCCCUAUUUAAAAGUGACUUUUAUAAAUUGUUAUUGGUGUCAACUUUUGUCAGCUUUACGUGGCUUUCUGACUGCAAUUCAUUUAGUAUUUAUAGAGUUAUUUACAGACUACUGAUUGUAAUUGAUUGUCUAAA